rnacentral:rRNA from 1 species
UACGUAGGGAGCAAGCGUUGUCCGGAAUCAUUGGGCGUAAAGCGCGCGUAGGUGGCCAUGUAAGUCCGCUGUGAAAGUCAAAGGCUCAACCUUUGAAAGCCGGUGGAUACUGCAUGGCUAGAGUACGGAAGAGGCGAGUGGAAUUCCCGGUGUAGUGGUGAAAUGCGUAGAUAUCGGGAGGAACACCGGUGGCGAAGGCGGUUCUCUGGGCCUUACCCGACGCUGAGGAGCGAAAGCGUGGGGAGCGAACAGG